rnacentral:rRNA from 1 species
GUGCCAGCCGCCGCGGUAAUACGUAGGUGGCAAGCGUUAUCCGGAAUUAUUGGGCGUAAAGCGCGCGUAGGCGGUUUUUUAAGUCUGAUGUGAAAGCCCACGGCUCAACCGUGGAGGGUCAUUGGAGACUGGAAAACUUGAGUGCAGAAGAGGAAAGUGGAAUUCCAUGUGUAGCGGUGAAAUGCGCAGAGAUAUGGAGGAACACCAGUGGCGAAGGCGACUUUCUGGUCUGUAACUGACGCUGAUGUGCGAAAGCGUGGGGAUCAAACAGGAUUA